rnacentral:rRNA from 1 species
GGAGUUAGCCGGUGCUUCUUCUGUGAGUGAUGUCCUUCCUGCCGGCUAUUAACCCGCAGGCCUUCUUCCUCACUGAAAGUGCUUUACAACCCGAAGGCCUUCUUCACACACGCGGCAUGGCUGGAUCAGGGUUGCCCCCAUUGUCCAAUAUUCCCCACUGCUGCCUCCCGUAGGAGUCUGGGCCGUGUCUCAGUCCCAGUGUGGCUGAUCAUCCUCUCAGACCAGCUACGGAUCGUCGCCUUGGUGAGCCGUUACCUCACCAACCAGCUAAUCCGACAUAGGCUCAUCCGAUAGCGCGAGGCCCGAAGGUCCCCCGCUUUCCCCCGUAGGGCGUAUGCGGUAUUAGCCUGGGGUUUUCCCCCAGGGUUAUCCCCCACUACCGGGCAGAUUCCUAUGCAUUACUCACCCGUCCGCCGCUCGCCACCAGGGAGCAAGCUCCCCGUGCUGCCGCUCGACUUGCAUGUGUUAGGCCUGCCGCCAGCGUUCAAUCUGAGCCAGGAUCAAACUCUGA